AUAUGGAAAUUUAGUUUAUGAUAGAGCUGAUAUUGUAUACAAAGUGGGGAAAACAUAAACUACUAAAUAAAUUGUAGUAAGACAAUAGGUAAUUACUGCUGAAAAAAAUGACACUUGAGUCCUACUUCACAUGACAAUACAAUAUUCAUUUUACUUUGAUUAAAUAAUUAAAUAUAAAAAAGAAUAUAAUAAAUAACAGUAUAUAUUCAAUAGAAAUAUUUAAUAAUUAAACAUAUUUAAUGUAUAUUAAUAUAAUUAAAUAUAAAAGAUUAUAUUUUAGUAGAUAAAAUAGAAAGGGUAAUUGAAGAGUGUUUAAUGAAGAGACCAAGGUAAAAACAGGCAUAGGGAACCAAUAAGUAGAAAGAUGUCCCCACCCCUAGUCUUAAAGGGGAAAGAGGAGGGAAUGAUUAACUGAACCAAAGAUACAUACAGGACUUAUGGUUUUUGUAAAAAACUCAAGAGCUAUUUCAAAACUUCCAGGCAGGAGAGAAUAUCCUUUCUCUCUAACUCGUACUCACCUACUUAUGCCUCCUGUUAGUGGAACCCAACCUACAGAAGGAAAGAUA
rnacentral:lncRNA from 1 species